rnacentral:rRNA from 1 species
AGUGAACGCUGGCGAUAGGCCUAACACAUGCAAGUCGAACGGCAGCACAGUAAGAGCUUGCUCUUACGGGUGGCGAGUGGCGGGCGGGUGAGGCAUACAUCGGAAUCUACUUUUUCGUGGGGGAUAACGUAGGGAAACUUACGCUAAUACCGCAUACGACCUACGGGUGAAAGCAGGGGAUCUUCGGACCUUGCGCGAUUGAAUGAGCCGAUGUCGGAUUAGCUGGUUGGCGGGGUAAAGGCCCACCAAGGCGACGAUCCGUAGCUGGUCUGAGAGGAUGAUCAGCCACACUGGAACUGAGACACGGUCCAGACUCCUACGGGAGGCAGCAGUGGGGAAUAUUGGACAAUGGGCGCAAGCCUGAUCCAGCCAUACCGCGUGGGUGAAGAAGGCCUUCGGGUUGUAAAGCCCUUUUGUUGGGAAAGAAAAGCAGCAGGUUAAUACCCCGCUGUUCUGACGGUACCCAAAGAAUAAGCACCGGCUAACUUCGU